GACGAACGCUGGCGGCGUGCUUAACACAUGCAAGUCGAACGGAAAGGCCCUGCUUUUGUGGGGUGCUCGAGUGGCGAACGGGUGAGUAACACGUGAGUAACCUGCCCUUGACUUUGGGAUAACUUCAGGAAACUGGGGCUAAUACCGGAUAGGAGCUCCUGCUGCAUGGUGGGGGUUGGAAAGUUUCGGCGGUUGGGGAUGGACUCGCGGCUUAUCAGCUUGUUGGUGGGGUAGUGGCUUACCAAGGCUUUGACGGGUAGCCGGCCUGAGAGGGUGACCGGCCACAUGGGGACUGAGAUACGGCCCAGACUCCUACGGGAGGCAGCAGUGGGGAAUAUUGCACAAUGGGCGGAAGCCUGAUGCAGCAACGCCGCGUGCGGGAUGACGGCCUUCGGGUUGUAAACCGCUUUCGCCUGUGACGAAGCGUGAGUGACGGUAAUGGGUAAAGAAGCGCCGGCUAACUACG
rnacentral:rRNA from 1 species